GCUGGGUGUGGUGGCACGCGCCUGUAAUCCCAGCUACUCAGGAGGCUGAGGCAGGAGAAUCGCUUGAACCCAGGAGGUGGAGGUUGCAGUGAGCAGAGAUCGAGCCACUGCACUCCAUCCUGGGUGACAGAGCCAGACCCCGUCUCAA
rfam:Gorilla gorilla gorilla genomic chromosome, chr16, whole genome shotgun sequence